rnacentral:lncRNA from 1 species
GGACAGCUCCUGGGCUCCACCUUUUCCCUCACGCUGCCAGCACCAGGUUGGCGGCUUCUCGCUCAGCUGCCUUGGCAAGAGGGCAGGUCCAGGCUGGAGCCAGGUGUUGAGUGGCAGCAACCAGGAGGUGCUCCUGCCAGCCCUUCAUGCACUUUUUCUCACUUCUCCCUUCUUUUUGUAAAUAAUCACGCCUGCUUAGAUGCCUGGUGACUCUCAUCUUGCAGCAGGCCACACUGUUGGCCUCCAAUGAAGCCUUUAAAAAGCAGAUGGAGAGUGCUAGUGAGGCGGCCAAGAAGUACACGGAGAAUGACCAGCUCAAGAAGUGAGCUGCUGUUGACGGAGGCAAGUUGGAUGUCGGGAAUGCUGAGGUGAAGUUGGAGGAAGAGAACAGGAGCCUGAAGGCUGAGCUGCAGAAGCUAAAGGAUGAGCUGGCCAGCACUAAGCAAAGCUCCAAUCCCUGAUGCU